CUGUACAACCCGUUACCUUUUU
rnacentral:miRNA from 16 species